rnacentral:lncRNA from 10 species
CGGCUUUUGAUGACGUCGGUGAAUCCGUCCUCAGCGGCAUUUUCUGGGGUCUCCUGCAGACCCCUCAGCUGUGCCAUAACCAAACGCCACGUGCCUCAGCUUCCUCACGCCCCAAACUUUGGAAGGCAGCUGCUGUGGAGAAUGGGGGGUCACAUGGAAUCUACACAUGGAAGGACAUAGGCAUUGCAUGCAGGUAUCCGGAAUCAUUGAUAUUGGUCUUAAAAUUUGGAAGUUUCCACUUUUGCUAAGGACUGCCAUUUAUAAUGAGCCCUACGGAGAGGCCAUGUGGCAAGAAGCUGAGGCUGCCAGAGGGAACCUGAGGCCUGCCAGCAACCACAUACAUGAGUUUGGAAGUUAAUUCUUCAGCUUCCUUUGAGUCUUGAGGUAGCUACAGCCUGGCCAGAACUUGACUAAACUUCAUAAGGGACACUGAGCCAGAAACACCUAACUAAGCAAAUUCUGGUUUUAUGACCUUCAGAAAUUGUGUGAAAUAAUAAAUAUUUGUUGUUUUCAUUA